UACGGGGGGAGCAAGCGUUGUUCGGAUUUACUGGGCGUAAAGGGCGCGUAGGCGGCGCAACAAGUCACUUGUGAAAUCUCCGGGCUUAACCCGAAGCGGUCAAGUGAUACUGUCGUGCUAGAGUGCGGAAGGGGCUACUGGAAUUCUCGGUGUAGCGGUGAAAUGCGUAGAUAUCGAGAGGAACACCAGUGGCGAAGGCGGCGACCUGGAUAGAUACUGACGCUGAGGUGCGAAAGCGUGGGGGAGCAAACAGG
rnacentral:rRNA from 1 species